rnacentral:rRNA from 1 species
UACGUAGGGUGCGAGCGUUAAUCGGAAUUACUGGGCGUAAAGCGUGCGCAGGCGGUGAUGUAAGACAGAUGUGAAAUCCCCGGGCUCAACCUGGGACCUGCAUUUGUGACUGCUCGGCUAGAGUGUGUCAGAGGGGGGUAGGAAUUCCACGUGUAGCAGUGAAAUGCGUAGAUAUGUGGAGGAAUACCGAUGGCGAAGGCAGCCCCC